rnacentral:rRNA from 1 species
AUGGCGGCAGAUACAGGCGAUGGUGGUUCGAGGGGAGGCGGGCGAGCGGGAGGCUCGCAGGGCCUUGGGUGCUCGAGGAGAGGCCGAGGGCGGCUGGAACCGACUAGAGGCGACGCCCUACGGCGCGGGGACGAGGUGGCGUUGGGGGCGCUGCUGCAGACAUGGAUGGAUAGGAGAUGGGAAGAUCUGGCCGGCUGGCGCUCCAGCGGGCGAGGCGGCGGCACAAGGCAGGAGGCGGCUCGGUCUACGGCUACUCGGAUGCUCGGCGUGGGCGGAGCCGGCUCGAGGAAGAGGAGCCUGGCAUGGCUCCCGCUUGAGGUGGCAUUCCUAGAGGAGCUCGGCGGCGGCUCCAAAGGAAGAAAAGAAGUGGAGUUGGAUAAAAAGGAAAUUGAAGAACGGUGCAAAUGUGUUAUGGGUGAAUCCAAGCCAAUGGAAUGGUUUAAUAUAGCUCCCUAA